UACGUAGGGGGCAAGCGUUGUCCGGAGUUACUGGGCGUAAAGGGCACGCAGGCGGUCCGGUCAGUUUGCGGGGACAGUGGGUGGCUUAACUACCCAAGAGACGCAAAGACGGCCGGACUGGGAGAGCGAGAGAGGGACCUGGAACUCCGGGUGGAGCGGUGAAAUGCGUAGAGAUCCGGAAGAACACCACUGGCGCAGGCAAGGUCCUGGCUCGUAUCUGACGCUGAGGUGCGAAAGCUAGGGGAGCGAACGGG
rnacentral:rRNA from 1 species